UAAGUGGAGAUGGGUUGGCUACUUCAUUCAGUGAAUACUGAAUGUCUUGCUAUCUCUGGGAGUAUGUUAAUGACAGCUUUUCAGCUGUUGAACUAUGGCAAUGUCGAACUAAUUUCUAAAUCUCUUUCUUUUAGUCAAGAAGAUGUGAUGAGCCAGAUCAACCAUUCAGCUUCAAUGCAGCUGUUCAACCCACCACUGCCACUGCUCUACCUCCACAAUGUUGUUGCUCUCUCCAUGUCACCGGUGGAUGACACGUUUAUCUCGGGAUCAUUGGAUAUGACCAUACGACUCUGGGACCUGCACUCUCCCAACUGUCAGGGCUACAACAACAUUUCACUCGAGGCCUGCUGCUUCACCCCAGACUCAGAGUUUGUCAUGAUUGGUGAGCCCAGCACCUCCAAGUCCCAACAUUAGAACUUGGCAAACUAGGCUGUCUUACCCAGCCCUCCCUGAUCCACGGAAAUCUAAUAUCAGAACAACUCAACACAAUUUCAAGUCUGACGCUCAAGACAAUUCUAGGGUCACCCAAAUCAAUUUGCCAUUUGACCCAAUUAGCUGAUAUUAUUACUAUCUGAACUCCAAUAAAUCCAGAGGUUUGUAUAACUAUUUUCCCUCAAUCCAUCAUCAAUAACCACCUAACUAACCCUCAGAGAGUGCGAUGAAAAUAGCUGUUUUGGAUGGGAAGCAUUCUUUACUAAUCAACACACUGCAGUUGAAUUUAAAUACAUGUUUGCCAGCGCCUGCUCCAAUAUGGUGAGACACACACACAAACACUUUCAUCAGCCAAACACUCACUCACUCAGACACGCGUACAUUGUCUUUCACUGGCCCCUGCCAACCUCUACCCCCAUGCUCUCUGUUUCUCUCUUUACAGGCAUCUUGGCUUCCCAGUGUAGGAGACUGAUAAAGGAGUGGGGCCACAGAGAAACUGUCAUCAUCAUUACCCAGCAUGUCUUUCUCCUUUCAUGUUGCUCUGAGUAUGCAAAUGCUUAACACUGUGAACUCUUAAUGGCUCCAGAUAAAAUUGUAUGCACACUAAGGCAUUGGUGAAAGGGAUUCCAAUGUCGAUUAUCCCUGAGGAGAGCUGUCACUCUAUACACUGAUUGAUUUGCCAAAUAGGGAAGGUUACAUAAGGGGAGCACUAGAGCUGUGGUUAGUUAUUACUAUUGUCCACCUGUGGCCUGCAGAUAAGUUGAGAUACAUUUUUCUAAGAGUAGAGAAGACCUGAGGUGUACUACUGCCAAACACUUGUUUAGAUAUCUUGUUUUUUUUACUGUGAUUCUGAGCAAACUGCCACAUAAUGUUAAUAAGUAGAGAGUUAUGUAUGAACUUGUAACUUUUUGAUACAAUGACAAACUUCAAUCAAGUGUUAAUUUGACCUGCUGAUACAUGUUUUAUUGGGAAUUCAAUGUUAGUGUUUUUUGUACGGUUUAUUCUGAAAGUAUUCAAAUGUUUUAAUGUCUACUUUUUAUGUCCUUAAACUCUGGUGUUUUUCAUUGGUGUGUGCAUUUGUGUGUGCGUGCACAUAAAGUGUAUCUGUGUGUAUAGUAGAGAGGGGGCCUCUGUUGAAUAAUGUAUAGAACCUUGGAGCUUACUGAAUUAUGGAUGAUCCCAUCACAGGUAACCUCACAGGUACACACUCAUCUUUCUCUCACCACCUAUGUGUGUGUGUGUGUGUGUGUGUGUGUGUGUGUGUGUGUGUGUGUGUGUGUGUGUGUCUUUCUGUCUCUAUCUCUCAUACACACAGUCACAAUCAGACAUAUUGCUAAUGAAAGAGCUUUGUUCUGAGUUUUUGUACCUGGCCAUUGUCUCGGUCCUUAAGUACUGACCAUUAAAAAACCUACCAUUCCUG
ensembl:lncRNA